CCGGGGCCGGCUGGGCAGGGCUCUGUGCCCCGGCAGUCACUGCACAGGGGCAGGGGACACCUCGGUGAGGUCACCUGGGUCACACCUGGAGCUCUGUGCCUGCUGCGGCCCCUCCCGUGUCCCUGGAGCUGGCGGAGUGUGGGGACAGUGACAGCGCUGGAAUCGCUGCUCUGCUCCACUGAGCCCUGCCAUGGAGCCAGGGGAAGGCUGGGGCUGGAAAGGACCUUGGAGCUGACACAGAGCAUCCAGCACAGCCCAACCUCAGCCCCUCCCAGCCCCUCAGGCAGCUUUGGCGUCCCUGAGGGACAGCAGGGCCACCCGGGCCAGCUCCUGAGCCCUUCCCCAGGGGAUGGGAGCCUCCCGUUCCUCUCUGCCUGGAGAAGUUCCAGCACAGAACCCUCAGCCUCAGCCCAGGAGAUCCCACAGGGUCCCGGGAGGCUGCAAAACCCCUCUGAGAUGAUGGAGCCCAACCAUCCUACCAGCCCUGCCAGGGCCACCAGUGCCCCGUGUCCCCAAGGGCCACCCCCGCAGGUUUCCAUCCCGCAGUGCCCGGGGAGCUGCUCCCAGGGGGGAGGGAGCCCUGCUGGGCUCUGCUGCUCCUUCCCCACCCAAAACUCCACCCUGGUGUUUGUCCCCGCGCCGGCUCCGAGCGGCAGCAGCAGAAUCCUGGAGCACAGCGAGUUCUCUGCGAUAUAAUUCUCUUUAAUCUUUUAAGCAUUUGACAGUAUUUGCUUGAAAGAAGAAGCAACAAGUACAUAAUUAUUGCACUAAUUAAGCUGCCAAAACACAAGCAUGCUGCAAGAGCACCUUUGAAACAGUGAGCUCUCGAUUCAUUAGCAUCUGCUGUAAGCUUAUUAAUCACCUAACAGGCAAUUAGCAAGCUGUUACUGUUUGAGACUAGUAUGUAAAUAAAUUCUUGGGUUAAUUUCUUCCUCUGAUAAUAAAGAAAACAUUAUGAAAAUUA